UACGUAGGGGGCGAGCGUUGUCCGGAAUCAUUGGGCGUAAAGAGCUCGUAGGCGGUUUGUUGCGUCGGCUGUGAAAUCCCGAGGCUCAACCUCGGGUCUGCAGUCGAUACGAGCAAACUAGAGUGUUGCAGGGGAGACUGGAAUUCCUGGUGUAGCGGUGAAAUGCGCAGAUAUCAGGAGGAACACCGGUGGCGAAGGCGGGUCUCUGGGCAACAACUGACGCUGAGGAGCGAAAGCGUGGGGAGCGAACAGG
rnacentral:rRNA from 1 species